rnacentral:rRNA from 1 species
UACGCAGGGGGCUAGCGUUGCUCGGAAUCACUGGGCGUAAAGCGCACGUAGGCGGCUUACUAAGUCAGGGGUGAAAUCCUGGAGCUCAACUCCAGAACUGCCUUUGAUACUGGUGAGCUUGAGUCCGGAAGAGGUGAGUGGAACUGCGAGUGUAGAGGUGAAAUUCGUAGAUAUUCGGUGGAACACCAGUGGCGAAGGCGACUCGCUGGACUGAUACUGACGCUGAGGUGCGAAAGCUAGGGGAGCGAACAGG